rnacentral:rRNA from 1 species
AGAGUUUGAUCCUGGCUCAGAUUGAACGCUGGCGGCAUGCCUUACACAUGCAAGUCGAACGGCAGCACGGGAGCAAUCCUGGUGGCGAGUGGCGAACGGGUGAGUAAUAUAUCGGAACGUGCCCAGUCGUGGGGGAUAACGCAGCGAAAGCUGUGCUAAUACCGCAUACGAUCUAUGGAUGAAAGCGGGGGAUCGCAAGACCUCGCGCGAUUGGAGCGGCCGAUAUCAGAUUAGCUAGUUGGUGAGGUAAAGGCUCACCAAGGCGACGAUCUGUAGCUGGUCUGAGAGGACGACCAGCCACACUGGAACUGAGACACGGUCCAGACUCCUACGGGAGGCAGCAGUGGGGAAUUUUGGACAAUGGGCGCAAGCCUGAUCCAGCAAUGCCGCGUGCAGGAUGAAGGCCUUCGGGUUGUAAACUGCUUUUGUACGGAGCGAAAAGGUUUCUCCUAAUACGAGAGGCUCAUGACGGUACCGUAAGAAUAAGCACCGGCUAACUACGUGCCAGCAGCCGCGGUAAUACGUAGGGUGCGAGCGUUAAUCGGAAUUACUGGGCGUAAAGCGUGCGCAGGCGGUUUUGUAAGACAGAUGUGAAAUCCCCGGGCUCAACCUGGGACCUGCAUUUGUGACUGCAAGGCUAGAGUACGGUAGAGGGGGAUGGAAUUCCGCGUGUAGCAGUGAAAUGCGUAGAUAUGCGGAGGAACACCGAUGGCGAAGGCAAUCCCCUGGACCUGUACUGACGCUCAUGCACGAAAGCGUGGGGAGCAAACAGGAUUAGAUACCCUGGUAG